rnacentral:sRNA from 2 species
UAGCGCGUCAUCUGGGGAGUAGCCAGCCGUUCCGUGUCAGGAACGGGCCAUGCGUCAACAUAUUCGGCCGAGAGGUCGUGGCGUAUGGGAGGCGGCGAAAAGCCGCAUCGGGCGAGACCAAUGGCAUCGGCGCUUAUCUGUCCGGCCGGGCGGGAGGCGACGGUGGCAUUGCGUCUGUUUCACUUCCGCCC